ensembl:snRNA U4 U4 spliceosomal RNA
AGCUUUGUGCAGUGGCAGUAUCGUAGCCCACAAAGUUUAUCCAAGGUGCAAUUAUUGCUAAUUGAAAACUUAAGCAGUAUCUUAGGAUGGGUGAUGUUCUUAUCAGUUAAAAAACAUUCUAUUGAUUUUUAUUUGAGAUGGUGGUAUCAGC